rnacentral:rRNA from 1 species
GGGGGGGGCGGGGGGGGGGCGGGGGGGGGGGAGGUCGGAGGGGAAGGCCCUGCGUUUGUGGGGUGCUCGAGUGGCGAACGGGGGAGUAACACGUGAGUAACCUGCCCUUGACUUUGGGAUAACUUCAGGAAACUGGGGCUAAUACCGGAUAGGAGCUCCUGCUGCAUGGUGGGGGGUGGAAAGUUUCGGCGGUUGGGGAUGGACUCGCGGCUUAUCCGCUUGUUGGUGGGGUAGUGGCUUACCAAGGCUUUGACGGGUAGCCGGCCUGAGAGGGUGACCGGCCACAUUGGGACUGAGAUACGGCCCAGACUCCUACGGGAGGCAGCAGUGGGGAAUAUUGCACAAUGGGCGGAAGCCUGAUGCAGCAACGCCGCGUGCGGGAUGACGGCCUUCGGGUUGUAAACCGCUUUCGCCUGUGACGAAGCGUGAGUGACGGUAAUGGGUAAAGAAGCACCGGCUAACUACGUG